rnacentral:lncRNA from 10 species
AGGACCCUGGUAGAAACAGAACACCUAACCAAGGGACAUCAGGGGACCAGAGCCGCCCAUCAUGAGCUGAGUCCUGACAGAUCCUACAUCAUCCCAUGAAUAUCCUCCAGACUGAGCUGUCCAGAAGACUGAAUUGUUUUUGAAGGGAAGGAAAGGAAAAGAAACGGAAGAAGAAAAAGGAGGAGGAGGGGAAGAAGAGGAGGAGAAAGAAGAAGGAAAAGGAAGAAGAAAUAGAGAAGAAAACGGAGGAGAGGAGGAAGAAGGGGCAGGCAGUGGGACAGGCAGUCGAGCUGGAUUUGUUUCUCAUUCGCUCUUGGCUCCUCUGGUGGAAAAAUCGAAGCGCUCCCCCUGGUACUGCUGAGGCGGAGAGGGUGAGCGUGGCUGGGAGGCUGUCCUGGCAGGGAAGUCCAGGGGCAGGCGGGGCCUGGCCGGGGAGAGGCUGCCCCCUGCUCACAACCCCCUUCCCAGCCCUCUUACUUCGACGUGGCUCUCUAGGCCCAGUGGGAAGUCCUGCCUCAGCUGAAGUGGAGGGGCCGGGCCAGGGAGGAGGUCGGACUGGGCUUGGGUUCAGCCUCAGGCUCGUAGCACCCUCCUUCCCUGGGCCUGUCUCUAGAGCAGUCUCCCAAGGGUGAUUUAAAAUCCCCCGAGGGUCUUCCAAGGAAGUGCUGUCAAGCUGCAGCAGGAGGGGGCCGAGUCAGACCUGGGACAGGCUUUCUCAGCAUUCAGACUUUGCCUAAGUGGGAGGUGAGCUGUGUACUAGGAGGGGAGGGUUCCACAGGCAACUGCUGGAUAUUUCCUGAACAUCCAGGGACAUGAGAAGCCUUUUCUGUACAUCAUCCCAUGUGGCCCUCACAGACACCCCAAGGUCAGUAUUAGCCAUCCCAUUUACAAAAAUUUUUUUAACACACACGGUUUUGCUCUGUUGCCCAGGCUCCAGUGCAGCGGCGCAGUCAUAACUGAAGGCACCCUCUAACUCCUAGGCUCAAGCAAUCCUCCUGCCUCAGCCUCCCAAGUACCUAAGACUACAGGCACAAGCCACCACACCUAACUCAUUUAUUUUUUUUGAGGAAGGGCCUCAUUAUGUUGUCCAGGCUAGUUUCAAAUUCCUGGCCUCAAGUGAUCCACCCACCUCGGCCUCCCAAAGUGCUGGGAUUACAGGGGUGAGCCACCAUGCCUGGCCCCAUCCCAUUUUACAGGUGAGGGACUUGAGGCUCCAUGAAGUCAGGUGCCCCACUCAAGGGGCUACACAGCCUCUACGUGGCAGGGCUGGGAUUUGAACCCAGUUGUGUCUGGCUCUUUCCCAAACACUGGAAAAGGCAGGCCUUUUUCCCCUCCACCCCAGGGCCCGGGAGCCCCUGAGCAGCUCCUGGGUGGGGCUGCCCCACAGGGAGACAGCCUUGGGGGAACCCAGGAGGUCUUUGGGCUGUGGCCUGUCUCUGUGGCACAGUGGGGUGCCUCGGGAGAUCUCCCCUCCACCUACCCUCCUCUUGUGGAGUUGGACCCACCCCCACCCCAUUUUUUCA